CCCCUCUCAGGGUUGCACCUGGAGAGUUGCCUGUACUCUACCAGUCUCGAUUAUGGGAGGGAGAGUCAAGCAGAGACCUAUUCAUUCCAUCCCUGGCUUGGGCAGCGGCUAGCGAGUGGAAGACAGUUUGCUACAGGU